GAUUAACGCUAGCGGCAGGCCUAAUACAUGCAAGUCGAGGGGCAGCAGGGUGUAGCAAUACAUCGCUGGCGACCGGCGCACGGGUGCGUAACACGUAUGCAACCUACCUUUAACUGGGGAAUAGCCCUCCGAAAGGAGGAUUAACACCGCAUAACAUCACGAGACGGCAUCGCCUUGUGAUCAAAACCUCCGGGGGUUAAAGAUGGGCAUGCGUCCGAUUAGCUAGUUGGCGGGGUAACGGCCCACCAAGGCGACGAUCGGUAGGGGUCUGAGAGGAUGAUCCCCCACACUGGUACUGAGACACGGACCAGACUCCUACGGGAGGCAGCAGUAAGGAAUAUUGGACAAUGGUCGCAAGACUGAUCCAGCCAUGCCGCGUGCAGGAUGAACGAUCUAUGAUCUGUAAACUGCUUUUGUUCGGGAAUAAACCCCUUACGUGUGGAGGGCUGAAUGUACCGAAGAAUAAGGGUCGCUAACUUCGUGCCAGCAGCCG
rnacentral:rRNA from 1 species